GCCCGAUUAGCUCAGCUGGUUAGAGCGUCGUACUAAUAUGUCCAAAUCGGUCAUAUCUGGUAAUGCGAAGGUCAACAGUUCAAUCCUGUUAUUGGGCA